rnacentral:rRNA from 1 species
AUUGAACGCUGGCGGCGUGCUUAACACAUGCAAGUCGUGCGGUAACAGGCGUAGCAAUACGUGCUGACGAGCGGCGAACGGGUGCGUAAUACAUGGGAAUCUGCCUUUUAGUGGGGAAUAACCCGGCGAAAGCCGGGCUAAUGCCGCAUAAGAUCUUCGGAUGAAAGCGGGGGAUCGUAAGACCUCGCGCUGAUAGAUGAGCCCAUGCCGGAUUAGCUAGNGGUGAGGUAACGGCUCACCAAGGCGACGAUCCGUAGCUGGUCUGAGAGGACGGCCAGCCACACUGGGACUGAGACACGGCCCCGACUCCUACGGGAGGCAGCAGUGGGGAAUUUUCCGCAAUGGGCGAAAGCCUGACGGAGUGACGCCGCGUGUGGGACGAAGGCC